UGGGGGUACACGAGUGGCGAACGGGUGAGUAACACGUGAGCAACCUGCCCUUGACUCUGGAAUAACAGUUGGAAACAGCUGCUAAUACUGGAUAUUCAUCGUCUCCUUCCUGGGGGGUGGCGGAAAGCUCCGGCGGUCAGGGAUGGGCUCGCGGCCUAUCAGCUUGUUGGUGAGGUAAUGGCUCACCAAGGCUUCGACGGGUAGCCGGCCUGAGAGGGCGACCGGCCACACUGGGACUGAGAUACGGCCCAGACUCCUACGGGAGGCAGCAGUGGGGAAUAUUGCACAAUGGGCGCAAGCCUGAUGCAGCAACGCCGCGUGCGGGAUGACGGCCUUCGGGUUGUAAACCGCUUUCAGUAGGGACGAAGGGUGACUGACGGUACCUACAGAAGAAGGACCGGCUAACUACGUGCCAGCAGCCGCGGUGAUACGUAGGGUCCGAGCGUUGUCCGGAAUUAUUGGGCGUAAAGGGCUUGUAGGCGGUCCGUCGCGUCAGGAGUGAAAACUCAGGGCUUAACCCUGAGCCUGCUUUUGAUACGGGCGGACUAGAGGGAUGCAGGGGAGAACGGAAUUCCUGGUGGAGCGGUGGAAUGCGCAGAUAUCAGGAGGAACACCGGUGGCGAAGGCGGUUCUCUGGGCAUUACCUGACGCUGAGAAGCG
rnacentral:rRNA from 1 species